UUUUAUCCCCUCCGUGGUGCGACAAGUCGCUUCCUGCCCUACAGGAGCCCAGCCCCGGACGAAGCCGCCCGCGAGGCUAUCACUUGGUCGCUUGGGAGCUGAGGACGGUCUGGCGGCUCCACCGAGACCCUGAACCAAUCCAGCAGUGCUUUGAAAGGAAACUCAUUCAGGGCCACUGAAAACUCAAGAGAGGAUCAAGUCCCAUGUCUGAUGAAUUCCUGCCUUUCUGAAAGAGCUGCCACCAAGAGUCUGGGAGAGAUGCAGGCAGAAGAGUGAAGUGGAAGUUCUCAGAAACACUGAGAAAUCAUGGGCUCUGC